rnacentral:rRNA from 1 species
GAUGAACGCUGGCGGCGUGCCUAAUACAUGCAAGUCGAGCGAACAGACGAGGAGCUUGCUCCUCUGACGUUAGCGGCGGACGGGUGAGUAACACGUGGAUAACCUACCUAUAAGACUGGGAUAACUUCGGGAAACCGGAGCUAAUACCGGAUAAUAUUUUGAACCGCAUGGUUCAAAAGUGAAAGACGGUUUUGCUGUCACUUAUAGAUGGAUCCGCGCGGCAUAGCUAGUUGGUAAGGUAACGGCUUACCAAGGCAACGAUGCGUAGCCGACCUGAGAGGGUGAUCGGCCACACUGGAACUGAGACACGGUCCAGACUCCUACGGGAGGCAGCAGUAGGGAAUCUUCCGCAAUGGGCGAAAGCCUGACGGAGCAACGCCGCGUGAGUGAUGAAGGUCUUCGGAUCGUAAAACUCUGUUAUUAGGGAAGAACAAAUGUGUAAGUAACUAUGCACAUCUUGACGGUACCUAAUCAGAAAGCCACGGCUAACUACGUG